rnacentral:misc_RNA from 1 species
GUUUUAGAAUUUUAUUAUGUUGCUGUCUUUUCCCUAUUUUGUGCCCAUAAAUAGAAAAUAGUGUUGUGGCCUGUAAGUAUUGGUCACUUUUUGUUACCCAUUAAUUUUUCUUCUCCACACGACACAUGCACACAUUCGUGGAACAAAAGAAAGGGGAAGGAUGUGGAUUUCUAUGACAUGCUACUAAAGUGUUCCAAUUCAUUUGCAGGGGAGCAGAUCCACG